UGACCGACACUACAGUGUGUGUGUGCUGAGAGUGAAGGAGGGACUGGACGUCUCUCAUCCAUCUCAGUCUCAUGUGUAUCCGGGUUUUAAUGGAGGACCAGAGAGUAUAAAUACCGUCUGUGCUGCUGCCUGCGUUCAAAUCAGCAAAUCAACGCCUUUGUCCAUCGCUCCAGACCCUCAGCCAAGUUCAGUGUGCCAGAUAAAACAAGGAAAGAAGACAAUCGACAUCACCUGGGUGUCUGACGAUGGAGGCCUCACUCUGCUGCUGCCCUACCUGCUGACUCGCAGGAAGCAAUAGGCCGGAUGUAAGGUCUGAGUGUUUGUGGGAGGAGACACCGACAAGAAGGUGCUGCCGCUGAUCAAGAUGUUCCGUCUUGCUUUCCAUGACGUCAAGGUGCAUCCUGACAUCUACCAGCCUCCUCAGCCUAGGAAGAAAGGACGUCAAAGCGUUGUGCCUCUCUGCUUUAACAUUUCUACCGGGAGAAGGCUUCACCACGAUCACUGACAUGUUGAGAUGUUUAAUGCAGGUUUAGUUUGAUCGGCCCUUUCAUUAAAAGAUUCCCUUCAUCAGAUCUAGAUUUAAAACAUCUGUAAUUUCAGUUACUUGAGAUGCAGAACACUAAAAUAAUGUGGAAUAUGCAAAGAGCAAAAUGGAGAGUUUACAUUUGCAGGAACAUGUGUGUUUCCAUGUUUUCUGUAAGGAUCAGGGUCUAAAUAAAGUUCUAGUCUAAUCUUAUUAAACCUCAAUAAGUUCCUUUAACUUCCAAUAAGAAACUUACAAUAAGUACAAUAAGUAUAGAGGAACAAGGCCACACACACACACACACACAGACACACACAUGGACACAUCACGUAUAGAGUCAGUCUGAAGUUUGUCUUCUUCUCCUCUGUUAAACUUCUCUGUGGGAUUCAGUCUCUCCAUCAGAUACGUCUGAACGAGGCUCUGCAGGUUUACUCCAGAGAAGCUGCUCUCAUCGUGAUGUGAGUUCAGUCCUUCUUCUGUUUGUAGAGGGCUUGUGACAGUGUCCUUACUUACACAUAGGGAUGGGCAAAAAUACAUCAAAAUGUAUUUUGAUACAAAAUACAAAAUACCCCUCGAAUAAAUGUAUCAAAAUAAAAAAAAAUACAUCAAAAUGUAUUUUGAUACA